AAGACUGUACUUCACAGGAUCAUUUCUGUAGUGCGUCUUCACUUCUCUCUACUCAACGGUAGAGUCAAUGAAACUGCGAGGAU
rfam:Arabis alpina cultivar Pajares scaff_39178_1_contig_0, whole genome shotgun sequence.